rnacentral:lncRNA from 1 species
UUCCUGGGCCCCCCUCACGCUCUGGGUCAGAGUUCCUUUACAGGCGGACCUGAGAGGCAACUCACCGACUCCUGCCCUGGACCCUCCUGCGCCACUGAACCCCCUGACCUGGGAGCCUCGGAACCUAGGGCUCAGGAGAGCGGCCGUGGGUCCCAUCAGGCUUUCCCCUCGGAUCCUCUGCAGAUGAACCAGGACUUACCCGAAAGUACCAAGUGAACUUCUAGGAAAAGUCCAAUUCUCAGAUGCUGGAUGUCUUCCAAAAAUGAAGCAAAUUAGUAACUUAGUAGCUGAGUCAACUAAUCCUGUUAGAUGGUCAACAUUGAUUUUUUUAUUUUAAUAUUUUUAAGUGGCAGCUCUAGUGUGUGAGAAAAUUAAUGUGGCCGCUGAAUUUGUAGAAAACCGCUUUGACUCUCUUGGGCCCCUUCAUAAAUAAGCCCUGGAACUAAAUAAAAGUCUAGUGAAU